AGUGAACGCUGGCGGUAGGCCUAACACAUGCAAGUCGAACGGCAGCACAGUAAGAGCUUGCUCUUACGGGUGGCGAGUGGCGGACGGGUGAGGAAUACAUCGGAAUCUACUUUUUCGUGGGGGAUAACGUAGGGAAACUUACGCUAAUACCGCAUACGACCUACGGGUGAAAGCAGGGGAUCUUCGGACCUUGCGCGAUUGAAUGAGCCGAUGUCGGAUUAGAUAGUUGGCGGGGUAAAGGCCCACCAAGGCGACGAUCCGUAGCUGGUCUGAGAGGAUGAUCAGCCACACUAGAACUGAGACACGGUCCAGACGCCUACGGGAGGCAGCAGUGGGGAAUAUUGGACAAUGGGCGCAAUCCUGAUCCAGCCAUACCGCGUGGGUGAAGAAGGCCUUCGGGUUGUAAAGCCCUUUUGUUGGGAAAGAAAAGCAGCAGGUUAAUACCCCGCUGUUCUGACGGUACCCAAAGAAUAAGCACCGGCUAACUUCGUG
rnacentral:rRNA from 1 species